rnacentral:lncRNA from 13 species
GAACAUGCCCAAAGUUUGGAGGUCAGGCAAAUGAGGUACCAAGAAGAGAAACGGUGAGCCCACAGUUACAGAGCUAGUGAGCUGUGGAAGGCGAAUUUCCACCUAGCACCACGGAUGCAGAGCCCACGCUCCAGACUGCGAUGCUGUGCUGUGUUGGUGUCCAAGACAAGGAGCAUCAUCUCUGUUUCAAAAUGUGGAAAAGAGUUACGAGCACCAGAAUCAAUGCUCCCUUCCCCACAGUCCACCAUUCCAUCAUGAUGCCUUUUACGGGUCUUGCCUCAAUGCUGAUGGCUGCUGGCUGAUCGAGAGAAGUCUGCUGAAGAUUGAAGUCGCUGUGGCAGUUUCUUAAAACAAGACAACAGUAAAGUUUUCUGGCUCAAUGGACUCUCCCUGUGAUAAAAGAUUUCUCUGCAGCAUGAGACGGUGCUUCAUAGCAUUUCACCCACAGUAGAGGCUCUUUCAAAAUUGGGGUGAAGCCUGUCAAGGCCUGGGGUUGCUUUAUGAACUAGGUUUAUAGAAUAUCCAAAAU